UUACAAUGGAGAGUUUGAUCCUGGCUCAGGAUGAACGCUAGCUACAGGCUUAACACAUGCAAGUCGAGGGGAAACGAUAGAGAAAGCUUGCUUUUUCUAGGCGUCGACCGGCGCACGGGUGAGUAACGCGUAUCCAACCUGCCCAUCACUUGGGGAUAACCUUGCGAAAGUAAGACUAAUACCCAAUGACGUCUCUAGAAGACAUCUGAAAGAGAUUAAAGAUUUAUCGGUGAUGGAUGGGGAUGCGUCUGAUUAGCUUGUUGGCGGGGUAACGGCCCACCAAGGCGACGAUCAGUAGGGGUUCUGAGAGGAAGGUCCCCCACAUUGGAACUGAGACACGGUCCAAACUCCUACGGGAGGCAGCAGUGAGGAAUAUUGGUCAAUGGGCGAGAGCCUGAACCAGCCAAGUAGCGUGCAGGAUGACGGCCCUAUGGGUUGUAAACUGCUUUUAUAAGGGAAUAAAGUGAGAGUCGUGACUCUUUUUGCAUGUACCUUAUGAAUAAGGACCGGCUAAUUCCGUGCCAGCAGCCGCGGUAAUACGGAAGGUCCGGGCGUUAUCCGGAUUUAUUGGGUUUAAAGGGAGCGUAGGCCGGAGAUUAAGCGUGUU
rnacentral:rRNA from 1 species